rnacentral:rRNA from 1 species
GUGGGGAAUAUUGGACAAUGGGCGCAAGCCUGAUCCAGCAAUGCCGCGUGGGUGAGGAAGGUCUUCGGAUCGUAAAGCCCUUUCGACAGGGACGAUGAUGACGGUACCUGUAGAAGAAGCCCCGGCUAACUUCGUGCCAGCAGCCGCGGUAAUACGAAGGGGGCUAGCGUUACUCGGAAUUACUGGGCGUAAAGGGCGCGUAGGCGGCUCUGUUAGUCAGGCGUGAAAUUCCUGGGCUUAACCUGGGGACUGCGCUUGAUACUGCAGGGCUUGAGGCCGAGAGAGGGUGGUGGAAUUCCCAGUGUAGAGGUGAAAUUCGUAGAUAUUGGGAAGAACACCGGUGGCGAAGGCGACCACCUGGCUCGGUUCUGACGCUGAGGCGCGACAGCGUGGGGAGCAAACAGGAUUAGAAACCCCAGUAGUCC